UACGGGGGGGGCAAGCGUUGUUCGGAAUUACUGGGCGUAAAGGGCGCGUAGGCGGCCUGCUAAGUCGGACGGGAAAUCCCUCGGCUUAACCGAGGAACUGCGUCCGAUACUGAAAGGCUUGAAUCCGGGAGAGGGAUGUGGAAUUCCAGGUGUAGCGGUGAAAUGCGUAGAUAUCUGGAGGAACACCGGUGGCGAAGGCGGCAUCCUGGACCGGCAUUGACGCUGAGGCGCGAAAGCUAGGGGAGCAAACGGG
rnacentral:rRNA from 1 species